UAUGAACGAUUUAUCGUUCUAAGUUAGUGACGUCACACUGCCAAGAAAAGCUUCUAGUUAGAAUCAGACCGCCCGUACCGCAAACCGACACAGGUAGUCGGGUCGAGAAGACCAAGGUGAGCGAGAGAACUCUCGUUAAGGAACUCGGCAAAAUGACCCCGUAACUUCGGGAGAAGGGGUGCUGAUCGCAAGAUCAGCCGCAGUGAAUAGGCCCAGGCGACUGUUUAUCAAAAACACAGGUUUCUGCAAAAUCGUAAGAUGAAGUAUAGGGGCUGACGCCUGCCCGGUGCUGGAAGGUUAAGAGGAUGGGUUAGCGCAAGCGAAGCUCAGAAUUGAAGCCCCAGUAAACGGCGGCCGUAACGAUAACGGUCCUAAGGUAGCGAAAUUCCUUGUCGGGUAAGUUCCGACCCGCACGAAAGGCGUAACGAUCUGGGCACUGUCUCAACGAGAGACUCGGUGAAAUUAUAAUACCCGUGAAGAUGCGGGUUACCCGCGACAAGACGGAAAGACCCCAUGGAGCUUUACUGUAGCUUGAUAUUGGGUGUUUGUACAACUUGUACAGGAUAGGUAGGAGCCGUAGAAGUCGGGACGCUAGUUUCGACGGAGGCAUCGGUGGGAUACUACCCUCGUUGUAUGAACACUCUAACCCACGCCGGCAAUCACGGCGGGAGACAGUGUCAGGUGGGCAGUUUGACUGGGGCGGUCGCCUCCUAAAAGGUAACGGAGGCGCCCAAAGGUUCCCUCAGAAUGGUUGGAAAUCAUUCGCAGAGUGUAAAGGCAUAAGGGAGCUUGACUGCGAGACCUACAAGUCGAGCAGGGACGAAAGUCGGGCUUAGUGAUCCGGUGGUUCCGCAUGGAAGGGCCAUCGCUCAACGGAUAAAAGCUACCCUGGGGAUAACAGGCUUAUCUCCCCCAAGAGUCCACAUCGACGGGGAGGUUUGGCACCUCGAUGUCGGCUCAUCGCAUCCUGGGGCUGUAGUCGGUCCCAAGGGUUGGGCUGUUCGCCCAUUAAAGCGGUACGCGAGCUGGGUUCAGAACGUCAUGAGACAGUUCGGUCCCUAUCCGUCGCGGGCGCAGGAAAUUUGAGAGGAUCUAUCCUUAGUACGAGAGGACCGGGAUGGACAUACCGCUGGUGUACCAGUUGUUCUGCCAAGGGCAUCGCUGGGUAGCUAUGUAUGGAUGAGAUAAACGCUGAAAGCAUCUAAGUGCGAAACUCACCUCGAGAUAAGAUUUCCCACUCCUUUAUGGAGUUAAGACCCCUGAGAGAUGAUCAGGUAGAUAGGAUGGAAGUGGAAGUGCGGCGACGCAUGGAGCGGACCAUUACUAUCGGUCGAGGACUUAAUC
rnacentral:rRNA from 1 species